GACGAACGCUGGCGGCGUGCCUAAUACAUGCAAGUCGAGCGGACGAAUUUUUGGUGCUUGCACCGAAUUUUCGUUAGCGGCGGACGGGUGAGUAACACGUGGGUAACCUACCUUGUAGACUGGGAUAACUUCGGGAAACCGAGGCUAAUACCGGAUAAUACUUUGAAACACAUGUUUCGAAGUUGAAAGAUGGUCUUGCUAUCACUACAAGAUGGACCCGCGGCGCAUUAGCUAGUUGGUGAGGUAACGGCUCACCAAGGCAACGAUGCGUAGCCGACCUGAGAGGGUGAUCGGCCACACUGGGACUGAGACACGGCCCAGACUCCUACGGGAGGCAGCAGUAGGGAAUCUUCCACAAUGGACGAAAGUCUGAUGGAGCAACGCCGCGUGAGUGAAGAAGGAUUUCGGUUCGUAAAACUCUGUUGCAAGGGAAGAACAAGUAGCGUAGUAACUGGCGCUACCUUGACGGUACCUUGUUAGAAAGCCACGGCUAACUACGUGCCAGCCGCCGCCGUAACAC
rnacentral:rRNA from 1 species